rnacentral:lncRNA from 1 species
GUCCUACUUCCAGAGGGUGGUCCUCUAUUUGAAAGGCUAAAAGAGGACAGAUGUCUAUUUAAAGAGGUGUUCAGUCCAAGUCUGAUUUAAAGAUAAAUAACUGUCAGAAGGGAGAACAGAGGCCUUGGAGUUGCCCGUUAACCCCUGGCAGCAGACUCAGGCAGCAAACUGAGCAGGUACAUGGGUCAUCCACUAUGGUGAGAUGCACCGUAUUUCUCUUAAAAUUAUGCUCCUUAUUUCCUCAUUAGCAUAUAUACACCAAAAUUACCUUGCGCACAUUUCAUGGAAAACUUGUGCAAAACCACUAAUAACUCUUUUGUCUUCUUUUGGAAGACAGUGCUUUCCCUCUUUUUCUUUUCUUUCUGAAAUCAUAUGUAUUUGAUUUUGCCAGUACAAAAUUAUAAAAAUCCAAAUAUAUAUCCAUAUACAGAGAUUUCUCUAAAUCUCAGGACUUCCCCCAACCCCCUCCAUGGAGUCCCAUUUUAAGCAUUUAAAACUGCAUAUUCUUCCAAUCUCUAACUUUUAUAUCAAUCCUUAUUGUCCAUGGUAAUUGUUACGCCACAAGUGAAAUCGAAAUCCUGCCAAUGUUUCCAUCUGUUUACAGUGGUCUUUUAGAUAGCCUAAUACAUUUUCCCCAUUCUUUUGCAAAGUUUUUAUCCUCUUGGUUCCUGAGUUUCCCAGUCAGCUUUGCCCUUUUUAUUAUUUGUUUUAAUGCCUCAUUCCCCAGUUUUUUAACCAACUCUUUUUCUUUUUUCAUCAAGCUUUCCCUCUUUUUCACUUGUGAAGUUGAAGUUGCUCAGACCUUGAUUGAUGGACCUCUGGCAGGAUGAGAAUGGUUGACUCCCCUGCAAAAGUCGGGGCAUAUCUCCUUUUAAUAAAUUUAUGACAACCCUGUGAAGUUAGGCAAGUUAAACUUAGAGGCAGCCGUUUAUCCAUUCACCCAGUACAUUACACAACUGAGUUAAGGGUUGAGCCUUUAUUUUUUCCAAACCAAACAUUUGUUCAACUGCACCAGACCAGCUUACUGACUGGAGCUUCAGUUCAGUUUGAAUACUGCUAUUGAUUUUGAAGAGCUUAGUCUUUGGGGGAAAGAUUUAACAUUGAUUUUGAAGAGCUUAGUCUUUGGGGGAAAGAUUUAACAUUUAGUUUUGUGCCCAACCAACCCCCAACCCUCUCCAAGAGUAAAAAAAGCACCAGCUCACAUCUUGCAGAUCGACAGCACCCUUAAAAAUACAUUACGUUGUCUCUUUCAUCCAGUUCCAACCAUUAAGCCAAGCUGAAUUGUCACAAUCUGCCAAAUCAUGAAGCUUAAUUUUCCAUUAGUGAAGCUCUCAUUAAGGACAUAGAAUGAUAAGACAGGAAUGACACCUGUUCUUUGUUUCCAUUUCAUAUCAGUAGCUUCUCUAACGAGGUUCUGCAGCUAAUUAAAGUUGGAGCUGACCCCUGGAGGUACAAUAGAAUCAUGUACUGAUAGAAUAACUAUCAAGUACUUUUCUCCUCUGGAGCAUAAAUUAGUUGAAAGAAAUCACCAAGCCACAGAAGUGUUGUCUGUGGGAUGUGCAUCUAAAAUGUCAAAUAUGAACAUCUUUUGUGAACAGAAAUGCCUGACCCCAGAGGGGUAGUUGUCACAGAAAAUAACAAAUGUGCCCUUGUGGCACUUCAAAGACUAUCAGCUGGAAUAGCUCACAGUCAGUACAGCAUGCGACUCUUAAUCUCAGGGUUACGGGUUUGAGACCCACAUUAGGCAAAAUGUGGAUUCCUGCACUGCCUGGGGUUGAGCUAGAUGGCCUUCGUGGUCCCUCUAAGCUAUAUAGCCUUUUUUGGCUAAGGAAGAGGUGGAAAUUCAAAUUGGGUUGCAUUUUAACAUUGUUGUUGUUUAGUUGUUUAUUUGUGUCUGACUCUUUGUGACCCCAUGGACCAGAGCACGCCAGACACUCCUGUCUUCCACUGCCUCCUGCAGUUUGGUCAAACUCAUGCUGGUAGCUUCGAGAACACUGUCCAACCAUCUUGUCCUCUGUCGUCCCCUUCUCCUUGUGCCCUCCAUCUUUCCCAACAUCAGGGUCUUUUCCAGGGAGUCUUUUCUUCUCAUGAGGUGGCCAAAGUAUUGGAGCCUCAGCGUCAGGAUCUGUCCUUCCAGUGAGCACUCAGGGCUGAUUUCCUUCAGAAUGGAUAGGUUUGACCUUCUUGCAGUCCAUGGGACUCUCAAGAGUCUUCUCCAGCACCAUAAUUCAAAGGCAUCAAGCACCAGAGAUCAGCAAUUGUGCUGGUUGGUGCACUGAGAUUCUCAACUAUUCUCCAUUAAAAAUGGAACUUCUUCUCCACCCUCUCGUUGCACAACUGUCUCAAAGCUGCGAUCCAACUUUAUAAUUCAUGGUAGACCAGUAGGCAAGCUGAUUAAAAGAAUAUAUAGAGAUCUGAGUGUGCUGUGCAGCAGCUAAAUGUUCUCUUAGCUUUGGCAAUGUAAUUACCCUCAUUAAAGUCUCUUUGGCUUAUCAAGAACAUUCUUCUUCCUUCUUCCAGGAUAAGAGUGCAGCUCAAGUUUCAGAAACAGGCUCCAAUAACUAGGAACAUGGCAUAUUUAUCUGUCAUCUGCAUGGGGGAGAAUGAGAGGAAAUCAACAUUAAUUUUUCAUAGCAAGGAAAGAUGGCACCCGAGAAAAUACUUUGUAGAGAAAUGUGUUUAGGAGGAAAGCCCAUUAAAAAAUCAUAAUUUGGGAUGUAUUGGGAACAAGUCUAUGGCAGUUAUUAAAUAUUGACUUAACGGG